GCCGGCCAAAGGAAGAACAAAGGAAGAAAAGAAGAACAAAAACCCUAGGUGCAAAAUUCAAGGGAAAAGUGUGAAAAUUCAAAGAAACAAGUGAAAAAAGGUAAGAUUUUUCAAUUCUAGCUUGUGAUCUACCUUUCUUAAGCAUUUUUUUUUAUUUUUCAUGGUUGAAUCACAUGAUUUCAUGAGGAUACCCAUGCUGACCGAACACUUAGAUGGAGGUUUUGAUGCUUGAUUUGGUUAGAUUUCAAUGAAUUUUAGUGUUUUUAGUUAGUUAGUGAUGUGUAGCAUGAAAAUCAAGUAAAAAAAUUCAUGUUCUUCCAUCACCCAUCAUUGGUUGAAUUCUCCAUGUGAAAUAUUGAUGAUGAUUUUGAUUUUAUUUCAAGUGAUUUUGUUAGGAAUUAGUGAUUUAUGGUGUGAGAAUCAAGCUUGAAAAAUUAUAGUGUUGAUGCACCCACUAUGGCCGAAUUUUUCCAAGAGAAAAUGUGAGGAUGAUUUUGCCAUAUUUGAAGUUAUUUAAUUUGUGUUUGAUGAUUUGAAGUAUUGGGAGAAAAAUGGAAUUAAAUGGAGUUAAAUUGGACAUAUUGGCCAAUUAAUCGGGUGAUAGAUCGAAUUAGGCUAAUACUGUUUUAUUUAGGUACACAAUUGAAUUUGUGUAGAACACCGUGUUUAGACGAUAAUCCGAACAAUUUGCAUCCCAUUUCAUACAUUAGUAUAGAGCCUGAAUUGGUUUUAUAACAAUUUAGCAUAAAUGUAGUAAAUGGCUUAUUGUGCAUUAUGUCUAGAUGGUGAGCAUUCUGGCCAAAGUAAAGAGAUAGUACUCGAGGAUCAAGAAUCGGAGUACUUGAAAUUCGACUUUUAAAAUAGUGAGUAACCUUACUAUCGUCUUAAUUAUCUAAAGUGGUUUUUAUCUGAUUUCGUGAUUUUAUGGAAAAUGAGUUUAAAUGGUAGAUUUUUACGUUUUAUAAACAAAAUGUGUUUAAAUGAAAUGAUUUUAUAAAUUGUCUUGAAAUUAAAUGAUGGCUUUGAAAAUAGAGUAAUUGGAGACCAUUUGAUGUAUUGUGAAUUUAUGGUUCUAAUUGAUUGGCUUAUGGCAAUAUUGGCAUGAAUGACUGAAUUGGUAUUUGUGUUGUAAAUGUAUAAACUGUUGUUUGCUUUGAUAGGCUGGAUAAUGAUAAAAUUGCCAUGUCAUGCAGUUAAAUUUUAUUGAAUUUGUGGGUUAUUGAUUAAUCGCUGCAGUGGACGGGUUUUCGUGAACCAGCAUAUUAAAGGGGCACGGUACCCUUAUUAUAUUAUUACCUCGGUCGGAUAGGCGUGUAGGGUAACUCUCGAAGUACACUUUUAGAGUUCACUUCAUGCCAAACCACCACGUGAGGGUGAACUCAGCCAACGCCAAGGAACGGUUAUGUUUUCAAAAUAAAAAUAUGUUUAUGUGUAAACGAAAUUUUUAACUACCUUGGCGGACUCGGUUGGGAUAGCCCUCUGCUAAGGUAUCCCUGAUAACUGAGUAUAAGAAUAAUUUUGGCACUAGCCAAAGCUUUUAAAAAAUUUAUAAGCCAUGUUGACUACUCGAUUUAUAUGAAUUGAUUUUAUUUGGUUUAAAUGAGUUGAAAGGUGAUGAAUUACAAUAUGUUAAACUAUUUUAUCUGUCUCCAUUUACUCAGCUUUAGAUAUUUUAGAUGUAUUUGUUUACUCACUGGGAUUAUAUAAUCUCAUCACCCUCCUUUCCACCCAUUUUAGGCUUAGGAUAGUCGGUAGAUAGCUCACUUUGUUGAGGGCUACAGUUGAACUUGCAUCCUCAAAAACU
rnacentral:lncRNA from 1 species